CUGUCCCUGAAGGUAUAAUCUUUGCCAUCACUUUAAGAUCCAUGCUGAAGCAGUAAAACAAUUUCAGUUGAUCAAAGUGCAAAAGUCGUUCUCGAACAUUUAAAAGCAAGCAAGCUGCCUAUUUAUAAGCCUUUCUCCUCCUUCAUUCGGAUAACUAAUUCUUAACCAAAAAAGCUUAAAUUCAGGCGUUUUUGCCCAAGAACUCGGGGAGGAAACACUCCCUUCCCUUUAUUAAGAACGGGUGCUAACUAACAAAGCUUCAACUCAUUUAACGAGCCGGAGCAGAAAAUUUUGUUAUUCAUUUUAUGAUUUGUUUUUUGCACAUUAGUUCUUCCUGACAGUAUUUCCUAGAUAAUCCUAUCACAAUCGUCUUACCAAAGGCAUAUCACCAACACGAGGGAGCUCUUCCAUCUGUGAAAUGGAGGAAAUACUAAGCUUCCCCAUAUUUAUAAGUAACUGCUUCCUAGAGUAGGGGCCAUAUUACGACCUCUUAAGUGUCGCACAAAGCUUGAAAAAUGAAACUGGUCACAUUUUAGCUAACAGGAGGUUUUCCUACGGGAGAUUCCUUCAAGUGAGACCGCCUUAAAAGUCCCAGCAGCACGUGUCCGCCUAGAUUCCCUUCUCCAGUUGCUUUUUGUCAGGAAAAGCGGCGAGCGCAGCCAACAUUCCUGAAACGCCCAUUGGCCUACACCCCGGGGCAGGCUCCGGGUCCGGCCCAGCAGCUCUUUGGUCGCUGCCUUUCAAUGAA
rnacentral:lncRNA from 1 species